GGGGUUUCCGCCCCUUAGUGCUGCAGCUAACGCAUUAAGCACUCCGCCUGGGGAGUACGGUCGCAAGACUGAAACUCAAAGGAAUUGACGGGGGCCCGCACAAGCGGUGGAGCAUGUGGUUUAAUUCGAAGCAACGCGAAGAACCUUACCAGGUCUUGACAUCCUCUGACAACCCUAGAGAUAGGGCUUUCCCUUCGGGGACAGAGUGACAGGUGGUGCAUGGUUGUCGUCAGCUCGUGUCGUGAGAUGUUGGGUUAAGUCCCGCAACGAGCGCAACCCUUGAUCUUAGUUGCCAGCAUUCAGUUGGGCACUCUAAGGUGACUGCCGGUGACAAACCGGAGGAAGGUGGGGAUGACGUCAAAUCAUCAUGCCCCUUAUGACCUGGGCUACACACGUGCUACAAUGGACAGAACAAAGGGCUGCGAGACCGCAAGGUUUAGCCAAUCCCACAAAUCUGUUCUCAGUUCGGAUCGCAGUCUGCAACUCGACUGCGUGAAGCUGGAAUCGCUAGUAAUCGCGGAUCA
rnacentral:rRNA from 2 species